UAGGAAAACUUACUUUUGUGUAAGCCUGUGAGGUAAGCCUCGACUUCUAAACUAACUUCGUAAGCUAUAGAACUAAAAGAGCAUAAUCGUAAUGUGAUACGAAUAGUCGGAAGGAAUUUAACAUUUAUUUAAAAACUAUAUAUAUGUAUUUAAAAACCGCUAUAUUACAAAGUCUUUAACUAUAUUUUUAUGAAUCUGUAUAAUUUUUUAGAAUUUUAAAAGGAUACAUAUAUAUAUGCAAGCUCCCUAGAUUUCAUGUAGGAUAGGGAUUCUUUUUGUUUCGCGGGUAGCACGACAGGCUGUGUUUCACGGACAGACCGAUCUUCCCGUGUUUUACGGACGACCAUUUUAAGCACGUUUUUCCGGAACGGACGGACAGACAUUAGAGACAAACAAGGUUACGGAAUAGUUAUUUAAGAUUUUAAAGACUGAAGAAGAAAGAUCGGUAGCUCAGGACGUUGAAAAUCGAUUCUCAAUUUUCAUACUACAGAAUCGAUUCCUGAAUUAUCACCAAAUUACGAUCUUACAAAUCGAUUUUCACUACGCCAUGCCGUUAGAAGUGAAGCUACGUAUCGCCAUGAACGAGAACGCAAGGGGGGGGGGGG